CUGAAUAAUAUUCUAAUGUUUCUUAACUUUCAUUCCGUCUUAUUUUACCCUGUGAUUUCUUCUCUCACACACACAGGAUGGAGACGAUGCACCAUCGUCUUCCUUGCUUCUCUAUCAACAAACCACUUGCUUGCUUGUUUCUGUCAAAGUCGGCCUCGUUCUCUUCAUUUUCUAUUACAGAUACAAGUAUAGAGAUUCUCAUAGCUUCGUCUCCAGACCAGAUGAAGCUGCUGGUUUUUUUUCUUUUCGAAACUGUUUUGUUCAAAGAGCCUGAAUUGCAGACAGAAUCCGAAAGGAGGAGGAAGAAGGGAAAUGCUGGCUCUAGGAUUCAAUAUUCAAUAUUUCCUAGAUUUGUUCGUUGCCGGCUUUUCCCUUAUGAUCAGAUUGGGCUUCUUCACUUUCAUUGCCGCCAUUCUCUGCUCUAUCGCUUUCUUGCAUAACGCCAGAGAUAUCUAAGCCUUCUUUUUAGAAGAAAGUUCAGGAAGAUGGAACAAUUCUCCCUGAAUUCGCAGACGAGGAUGAAAGUCAGUGUAAGGAGAACUCUUUGAACAACUGAAUCUUGAGUUGGAAAGUGAUCUUGAACUGAAAAGGAUGAGACACCAUGAAGUUGUAUACUUGAUUCAUGAAGAUCACGAUGAAGAGGUGGAGAAUGUAAACUCCAAAGUUUGAGAUCCUUCGUGCUUCGCGCUUCCAUGCCAUUAUCGCGAGCCUCCCUUCUCCUGUUCUUUUGAGGAGAAUUGAAAACUAUGAGAUGAUGGUGCAGAAGUUGAGAAAUCAAUCACACCUCACAAGUUCUGCAAAUAUCUAACGACUUCUAAUACUAGCUCUCAUGGUGGUUUCUCCGUCCCUCGUCGUGCUGCAGAAGACUAUUUCCCUCCCUUGGUAAGGUGGGACAACAAGGAAAUAUUGUAGCUUCGAGUUCAAUUUUUUCGUCGUUGAUAUGUGAUUGACUUCUUAUAAAAUAUGUUUUAGUUUUAAUGACUUUGGGUUUAUAGUUUAUUUUGAAUGUAUUUAGUGAUAAUGAAUUAUUGAUAAUGUUAUUUUGUGAUAAUGAA